rnacentral:rRNA from 2 species
GUAGUCAUAUGCUUGUCUCAAAGAUUAAGCCAUGCAUGUCUCAGUACAAGCCAAAUUAAGGUGAAACCGCGAAAGGCUCAUUAAAUCAGUUAUGGUUCCUUAGAUCGUACCCACAUUUACUUGGAUAACUGUGGUAAUUCUAGAGCUAAUACAUGCAAACAGAGCUCCGACCGGAAACGGAAGGAGCGCUUUUAUUAGUUCAAAACCAAUCGGUGGCGGGUCCGCUCGUCAUCGUCCCAUUUGGUGACUCUGAAUAACUUUAAGCUGAUCGCACGGUCUCGUACCGGCGACGCAUCUUUCAAAUGUCUGCCUUAUCAACUGUCGAUGGUAGGUUCUGCGCCUACCAUGGUUGUAACGGGUAACGGGGAAUCAGGGUUCGAUUCCGGAGAGGGAGCCUGAGAAACGGCUACCACAUCCAAGGAAGGCAGCAGGCGCGCAAAUUACCCACUCCCGGCACGGGGAGGUAGUGACGAAAAAUAACGAUACGGGACUCAUCCGAGGCCCCGUAAUCGGAAUGAGUACACCUUAACCCCUUUAACGAGGAUCAAUUGGAGGGCAAGUCUGGUGCCAGCAGCCGCGGUAAUUCCAGCUCCAAUAGCGUAUAUUAAAGUUGUUGCGGUUAAAAAGCUCGUAGUCGAACUUGUGUCUCGUGCCGCCGGUUCAUCGUUCGCGGUGUUAACUGGCGCGCUUCGAGACGUCCUGCCGGCGGGCUUAGCUCGCAAGGGCGGCCCAACUCAAUCCCGCCGCGGUGCUCUUCAUUGAGUGUCGAGGUGGGCCGGCACGUUUACUUUGAACAAAUUAGAGUGCUUAAAGCAGGCUAAAACUUCGCCUGAAUACUGUGUGCAUGGAAUAAUGAAACAGGACCUCGGUUCUAUUUUGUUGGUUUUCGGAACCCCGAGGUAAUGAUUAACAGGAACGGAUGGGGGCAUUCGUAUUGCGACGUUAGAGGUGAAAUUCUUGGAUCGUCGCAAGACGGACAGAAGCGAAAGCAUUUGCCAAAAACGUUUUCAUUGAUCAAGAACGAAAGUUAGAGGUUCGAAGGCGAUCAGAUACCGCCCUAGUUCUAACCAUAAACGAUGCCAGCUAGCGAUCCGCCGACGUUCCUCCGAUGACUCGGCGGGCAGCUUCCGGGAAACCAAAGCUUUUGGGUUCCGGGGGAAGUAUGGUUGCAAAGCUGAAACUUAAAGGAAUUGACGGAAGGGCACCACCAGGAGUGGAGCCUGCGGCUUAAUUUGACUCAACACGGGAAACCUCACCAGGCCCUGACACUGGAAGGAUUGACAGAUUGAGAGCUCUUUCUUGAUUCGGUGGGUGGUGGUGCAUGGCCGUUCUUAGUUG